AUCAACUUUCGAUGGUAGGAUAGAGGCCUACCAUGGUGGCAACGGGUAACGGGGUGUUAGGGCACGACACCGGAGAGGGAGCCUGAGAAACGGCUACCACAUCCAAGGAUGGCAGCAGGCGCGCAAAUUACCCAAUCCCGACACGGGGAGGUAGUGACAAUAAAUAACAAUACAGGGUUCUUUUGGAUCUUGUAAUUGGAAUGAGUACAAUUUAAAUCUCUUAACGAGGAACAAUUGGAGGGCAAGUCUGGUGCCAGCAGCCGCGGUAAUUCCAGCUCCAAUAGCGUAUAUUAAAGUUGUUGCAGUUAAAAAGCUCGUAGUUGAAUUUCGGGAUCAAUAUGUUGGUCGUGCCUUGGUACGUACUAGUUUAUUGGUUUCUCCCUUCUGACGAACCAUGAUGUCAUUAAUUUGGUGUCAUGUGGAAUCAGAACUGUUACUUUGAAAAAAUUAGAGUGUUUUAAGCAGGCUCACGCUUGAAUACAUUAGCAUGGAAUAAUGAAAUAGGACGUUUGAUUCUAUUUUGUUGGUUUCUAGGAUUGACGUAAUGAUUAAUAGGGAUAGUUGGGGGCAUUAGUAUUCAAUUGUCAGAGGUGAAAUUCUUGGAUUUAUUGAAGACUAACUACUGCGAAAGCAUUUGCCAAGGAUGUUUUCAUUAAUCAAGAACGAAAGUUAGGGGAUCGAAGACGAUCAGAUACCGUCGUAGUCUUAACCAUAAACUAUGCCGACUAGGGAUCGGAUGAUGUUAAUUUAAUGACUCAUUCGGCGCCUUACGGGAAACCAAAGUGUUUGGGUUC
rnacentral:rRNA from 1 species